UACGUAGGUGGCGAGCGUUAUCCGGAUUUACUGGGUGUAAAGGGUGUGUAGGCGGGUCUGCAAGUCAGAUGUGAAAAUUAUGGGCUCAACUCAUAACUUGCAUUUGAAACUGCGGAUCUUGAGUGUCGGAGAGGUAGGUGGAAUUCCCAGUGUAGCGGUGAAAUGCGUAGAUAUUGGGAGGAACACCAGAGGCGAAGGCGGCUUACUGGACUGUAACUGACGUUGGGGCUCGAAGGCGUGGGGAGCAAAC
rnacentral:rRNA from 1 species